CAAUAAUACGCCUACGCCGCUUGCAGCAACUGGAACGCUCUCUGCCAUCACAAUUUUACACUUAAACCUUCCCCAUCCAUUUCUAUAAGAAAAGUAGCAGCUUCCCAGCGCCUAAAUAAUCCAAAUUUGUGACAUCACGUCUUCCCGCCCGGAGUUUGGUCACGUGGAUGUGACAUCGAGACUUCCUGAAAGCGUCUGAGUUAGGGAGUGUGCGUUGAGUGCUCCCGCUAAGCCUGGGCAUGGAGCAGGAAGACGGGGCUCUCCGGGAGAGCUUGCUUGCCCUCCAACGCGACCUCUCCGGCCAGGGCGAACAAUUGCGACCUCAAAGCCGCUGUGUGAGCCAAGCGGAGGCUGAAGGAGAACUCACCGAGGUGUUGCUGAAGUUUUUAAAAAACAGGAUUACUCGUUUACAUAUUGCUGCUUUCCUGACCCAAUCUGUUGUCCAUCAAACACUGCAAGGAGACCUGUCUUCAUUUGCAAAGACGAAAGAGACACAAGAAUCAACAGAGGAAAAUGGAGGAAAUGAGGAGCUUCUGUGCUCAGAGGCCUUGUUACAUUACUGCCUUCAAUGUCUGCAAGACGUCAUCAGCAAGUGGCUUGAGCAGCUGCCCCCCUUUCCACCACCUCCGCGUGACAUCUGUGUUUCUGUCCAUGCCAUCCGAAACACCCGCAGGAAAAUGGAGGAUCGACAUGUCAUUCUGCAAGAUUUCAACACCCUCUUUGGCAUAAAGGACAGUAUUCCAAGAUCAUACUUUGCUGUGUUUGAUGGGCAUGGGGGAGUGGAUGCAGCCAAUUAUGCUUCCACGUACGUACAUGUGAAUGUUGCACGUCAUGAGGGACUCAAACAGGAUCCAGCACAAUCGCUCAGGGAGUCUUUCCAAAAGACAGAUGCCAUGUUCCUGAAGAAAGCAAAAAGAGAGAGGUUGCGGAGUGGCACAACAGGGGUGUGUACCCUUCUGGAGGGAGAUCACUUACAUGUGGCCUGGCUAGGGGAUUCUCAAGCCCUCCUUGUACGGCAGGGUAGUCACGUGACACUGAUGGAUCCCCACAAACCAGAGAGAAAGGAUGAACGUGAGAGAAUUGAAUCUCUGGGUGGCUGUGUGGCUUUUAUGGGAUGCUGGAGGGUAAAUGGUACACUUGCUGUAUCCAGGGCUAUUGGUGACAUUGACCAGAAACCAUUUGUGUCUGGUGAGGGAGACGUUACUUCUCAAAUACUCAGUGGCACAGAGGACUUUUUGGUGUUGGCUUGUGAUGGAUUUUAUGACACUGUGUCACCACCAGAGGUCCCUGGCUUGGUUUUGGAUUAUCUGCAGGAGAGUGGGGGAAAUUGGCAACAUGUUGCAGAAAGGCUGGUGACUGUAGCCAAAGAAGGUGGUUCCAGUGACAACAUUACUGUCCUGGUAGUAUUUUUACAGCACCCACAGAAAUUACUGGAGGAUAUUCAGGCACAAGGCAGUGUGGAAGAACAAGCUCUGUUCGAUUUUGGUGGGGAGGCAGUGGAGGUUGCAUCAGAUAAUGCAGGGUGAUUACUUUGUCCAACAUUUACUGUAUAAUUCUUCAAAAACUGAUGUGCAGAGGUGGCAAGUUUCAGGAAACCAUGAAAGGGAAAUUUACAAGUCACUUAGGAAAGCAUGACAAAGUUUAUGGAAAGUGACAGGCUUGAUAAUGAAACUAAAAUUCUGAAUUGAAUGACCAAAAAUAGAGAGGAAACCAUUUGAGAAAAUGAUAUGGUUUUUACAAAAGGGCAACUUGCCAGUUCCUGCUAUACUGAUUCCUACAUUAUUUUUAACCUCUAUUUUUUCACGUGGUCAUUUCACUGGGGGAAGACAGGUCUUAAUUAGCAAAGCAUGGCAGAAUAAGAAGCCAGAUUAUUUAUUUAAAUUUUAUUAACCCAGCUGGAACCAAUCUCUUCAUAAAUCACCAGAAGACAUUGUCUUUCACUUCCAUUGGGUGCAUUCUGGAAGACAGAACCCUGCUAAUCAUUUUAAGAGCAUUGCUUACUUGUUACAUAGCUAUAAGACUCUUCUGGAUUCUUAAUCUACCUAUUUUAUUUGGCAGUAGUAGGAGGCUACCUCCUAUCUUAGUGUCAUGACCUGGUUUUUAUUCUAUUUCUACAGCCAUGCAGAGGUUGCUCUCCCAAAACAGACCCAGUCCAAUUAUUUAUAAUCUGACGUGAUUUUUUUUUUAUUCAAGUUUCUCCCACCACCACAGUAUUAAGACAGCCCCUUCAUCAUCACUUGUAAUAAGCUUUGGGUCCCCUGCCUCAUCAGACUGUCUGGGCAGUGAUUAUGUGCUCUAAUUGCUGUUGCACAAUUUUAUUUUACAGACAGAAUGUUUUUGCCUCGUUUUUCUAUGGGAAAUGUUCAGUGUUACAGUUUUAUAAUUAUGAACAGUUAUUUAAUUUUUUAAAUUGAACUCAGGUGGUUUGAAUUUGAAUUUAUCAGUGGAAUUUCUGGGAGCUGGCGUGGUGUCAAAAAUAACCGAUUUAUAAAGCUAUAUAAUGUGUUCAGUAUUGUUGUUUGUAAACUAAAGACAUUUUGUAUGUUGUAUAAUCUGUAUUUCCCCACAGGCGGAGUUUCAAUAAAUUUCUGCAUACCCAG